rnacentral:rRNA from 2 species
UCUGGCGGCAGUAGCGCGGUGGUCCCACCUGACCCCAUGCCGAACUCAGAAGUGAAACGCCGUAGCGCCG